UACAGAGGUCUCAAGCGUUGUUCGGAUUCAUUGGGCGUAAAGGGUGCGUAGGCGGCGCCGUAAGUCGGAUGUGAAAUCUCAGGGCUCAACCCUGAAACUGCAUUCGAUACUGCGGUGCUUGAGGACUCGAGAGGAGAUUGGAAUUCACGGUGUAGCAGUGAAAUGCGUAGAUAUCGUGAGGAAGACCAGUGGCGAAGGCGGAUCUCUGGAGAGUUCCUGACGCUGAGGCACGAAGGCCAGGGGAGCGAAACGGG
rnacentral:rRNA from 1 species